AAAAUUAGAAAAAUAACUUUCUUCACUUAUUGGAGGAUUUUUUUACAACAUUUAACUUUGAACAUAUUAUUAAUCUCGACGGCUCAAAAGUUUCAUUUCAAUGUUCUCUAAUUUACUAUUAUUAUUAAUAUUUAUUAUAUUUAUAUGUAUUUUUUACUCACCAACCAAAUAUUUAGAAUUAUUUUUUAUAAAAUAUUUUCUAGGAAUACACAUUUUUCAUGGAAAAGACUUCCACAUACUAAGCACACAAUAAAUAAAAUUUAUACUUUAUAUCAAUUACUAACUAAUCAAAAAUAAUGAAAUUAAAAUACCUCAUAAAUUAUUAGGUUUGAAUUAAGUGAAAGAAAUCAAACAAAAGAUAUUACUAAUAUUUAGAGUCCGUUUGGCCAAGCCGCCAAAAACUACUUAUUUUGAAAAGUGUUUUUAUUCAAAAGUACUUUUGCAAAAUAAGUAGUUUGUGUUUGGCCGAUUCAUUUGAGUAGUGCUUUUUGCAAGCUCAUCGUGCUUGGCCAAUCUUUUAAAAAGCACUUUUAAAUAUCAAAUUACGAAAAAGAACAGUAAAGGUUCAAUUUGCGAUUAGUAUUAUUUAGAAAAGAAAAAUAAAUUUAAACAUUUAUUAGAAAAGAAUUCAAUUAAAAUAUAAAAUGUAAGUAAAAAUAUAAAUUAAAAUUUUUAAUUAAUAUAAAAUAUAGUUAUUCCAAAGCAACAAUAUUGAGUGCUUGGUAUUACUUAUUAUUCAUAUGAUAAUUUAAAUAUGUCAAAAUACAUCAUUCAAUAUAAAUUUAAAAUCAACUCUUAAGAAUAGGAGAAAGAGAAUAGAAAUUUGAUUAAAAUAAAAAAGAGAAUAAACGUAUAGUAGAAAAAAAAAGAAAAUAGAAAAGGAAAAAAAAGAAAUAUUAAAUUAAUCAAGGAUAAGUUGAAAAAUAUAAAUUUAUUAUAAUAUUAUUUUUAUCUUAAACAAAUUAACUUUAUCUUCUUGAAAGAAGCUAAAAUUUAUAGUUUUUACUGCUAACAAGUGCUUUUUCAUUUUGGCUUUUACUUUCAAAUCUAAUUCUCAAAAUUUCAAUUUUUUCACAUUGGUACCCAAAAAUCUCAAAUUAUCUUUCAUCCUCAUCUAGAAACAGUAUUUUUCACAUCUCUACAGUUCGCUUCUGUCAGCUCCUACCCCCGAUUGUCAGCUCCUCUUCCUGCAAAAAGAAAGAUUUUAUCUAAAAAGGGUGCCAAUUUUUCUAAUUUUUCUUACAGAUCCGACAACCCAAUUUCUCUGCUACAAUUUCAAGAUUUUCUUUGCUGUAAGUAUUUCAGAAUGUUGUUGAUAAAAUUAAGCUGUAUGCUAUGCGAAUCACAUUUAUUGAAGGUAUCAAUCAAUCAAUCAAUCAAUCAAUCAAUCAAUCAAAUUGGGAUUGGCUAUAUGAAUCCCCCAUAGCUAUUUUGCUCUGUGGGGAUAUGUGUAUUAAACGGUAUUGUGAAAUUGACAAUCUGCUACUGAAUUAAAAUUGUAUGUACUGAGAUUUAGGAUGAAAUUGCAUAUACGGAGCUGAAUUAUUUGCUGCUGCCUGAAGGAAAACUGGAUUUUUAUCUGAAAUUAAGUGGGUUUGCUUGACUAUUCUUUUCAGCAUUAUAUAGUGUGAUUCUAACAGUAAUUAUUUGCAAGUAUUGGAAUGAAAAGGGCAAGAGAGCAGCAAAAUGGAUAUAGAGGGUCAUAUAGUUAGUUGAUCCCAACUAGUAUGGGAUUGAGACGUAGUUGAUUAUUUACUGGUUGAAGGUGCUAAACUUAAGCAUGUAACCCAAAGCUGGCUAAAUAAUUGAGAAAAGCUGAGAUAUUUCGAGCUAUCAAUGCUAGAGGAAGUCACUUUGAAUUGGGGUUAUCUCCAAUUUGUUUAUAUGAAAAAUUCAAAUAAGGAGGCUACAAAAGUUUUUUCCUCCCAAUUGAGGACCUUUAAGUUUACUUUAAAAACCUCAUUGGCUUCUGUAGCAGAACCAACUACCAGCAUUGUUAUCUGAACACUUUACUACUUGAAAAUGGACCUUAAUUGUUGAAUUUUCUAAUUCAACCUACAGUUAUAGAGCACUGUGGUGCAAGGGGUUUUUUUUUUUUUUUUUUGAGAAGGAGCAAGGUUGUGCUUUUCUUAAAAUUGUGCCUGUCAUAUUAAGUUGUGCUUAUCUGCACCUUGCAUUUCUACGAGCU
rnacentral:lncRNA from 1 species